AGGGGAGAAGCUGUUGGAAGUAUGGUUGGCUUGAAACCAGUUAGAGGGGGUUCGAGUCCUCCCUCCCUUG
rnacentral:tRNA from 1 species